GGAACCGUCUCGUGUUCAUUAUCCACACUCACCACCACAACACGAAAACGAAAACGAAAACGACGACAAGUCGUUCAUUCCCUGCGAAAACCGAAUUACCGAAACCCUAAUCACCACUCCGAGAACCAAAGAUUCGCCCAAUCCGAAGACCCAAACCUCAAAAAAUCAGACCAUGAAAAGCGUAGAGGUGGCCAAGACGGUGCUCGAGGUCGCCGACGUGGCUUGGACCGCCGUCGAACACACCCACCAUUACCGCCACCGCUGCAGUCAUCCCGUCGCCCCCGCCGCCGCCGAUGUCUGCCCCUCCGACCAAGAUUUAGAGUCUCUGCGAUCAGAAAAUCGACGCCUCAGGAACUUGCUCGACUUGAAUCUGAACCUGCUCCAAAACCUCUCCAAGUCACCCUGCCUCGAUAAUUGCCCUCCCGAUUUGAAUGAGCGAUUAGUUGCUACCAUGAGAUCUGAUGAAUACUUGACUCGGCUCAAGUUCCUGCAACAGGAAACUGCUAGUGGAGGAAAUCAAUUUCCUUUCAAGGAGGCCACUGAGCUUGAUCACCGAUCAGCUGACAUUUUGGUCAACAUCGACUCUCAAGAACCCAGUUGGUGGGUUUGGGUUACAGAUGAGGUGGAUCCUAUUAAUGUUGAGGAAUUGAGUGGAAUUGAUGAUGAGAGUUACGUGGUCAUCAGCGAGGAACAUGUGGUUGAUGGUGUUGCCAACUUUAUGGCCAGAUGCAUUUUAUCAAACCCGAAAGCUCUGAAUUUUUCACCAGAGGAACUGCAGAAAGCGCUAUCAAAAGCAUUGCGUGGUACAACCAAACUGGAAAAGAUUUUAGAUAUUUGGGAAGCUGGAAAGUUGUUUUAUUGUCUGUCUACCUGGGGACUUGCUUUGGCAGGGCUUUACCAAAGUCGUGCAAUUUUGAGAGUUGCUGCAAAGGGUGUUCAUUCAGGAAGUAAACUUGCUCUCAAGGCUCUCUAAAGAUUGCUGUUCCAUGACCAUGGCAAAAUGCAAAUGUAUAAUGAAUGCUAGUGCAUGGAGUUGGCAGUUCCUUGUCUGACUAUAAACCUAUUUGUUAAUUGCUUCCUAUAAGAUCUAGCUGAUGUAAAUAAUUUGUAAAUAAAAUUAUUCGUUGUCUUAUCUAGCUGCGUAUCCCACUCUGGCUUCUAAUGCUGCAUCUACAGUGUUAUGUUGUACUGCAUAUUUCAUUAUUGAAUAAUUUAAUGCUUGUGUUUUUCUUACUCC